GACGAACGCUGGCGGCGUGCUUAACACAUGCAAGUCGAACGCUGAAGCUUGGUGCUUGCACUGGGUGGAUGAGUGGCGAACGGGUGAGUAAUACGUGAGUAACCUGCCCUUGACUCUGGGAUAAGCCUGGGAAACUGGGUCUAAUACUGAAUACGACAUGUCACCGCAUGGUGGUGUGUGGAAAGGGUUUUACUGGUUUUGGAUGGGCUCACGGCCUAUCAGCUUGUUGGUGGGGUAAUGGCUCACCAAGGCGACGACGGGUAGCCGGCCUGAGAGGGUGACCGGCCACACUGGGACUGAGACACGGCCCAGACUCCUACGGGAGGCAGCAGUGGGGAAUAUUGCACAAUGGGCGGAAGCCUGAUGCAGCGACGCCGCGUGAGGGAUGACGGCCUUCGGGUUGUAAACCUCUUUCAGCACGGAAGAAGCGAAAGUGACGGUACGUGCAGAAGAAGCGCCGGCUAACUACGUG
rnacentral:rRNA from 1 species